rnacentral:rRNA from 1 species
GACGAACGCUGGCGGCGUGCUUAACACAUGCAAGUCGAACGGUGAACCUCUUCGGAGGGGAUCAGUGGCGAACGGGUGAGUAACACGUGGGCAACCUGCCCCCGGCUCUGGGAUAACUCCAAGAAAUUGGGGCUAAUACCGGAUGUUCACCGCUUCCCGCAUGGGUGGUGGUGGAAAGGGUUUCCGGCUGGGGAUGGGCCCGCGGCCUAUCAGCUUGUUGGUGGGGUAGUGGCCUACCAAGGCGACGACGGGUAGCCGGCCUGAGAGGGUGACCGGCCACGCUGGGACUGAGACACGGCCCAGACUCCUACGGGAGGCAGCAGUGGGGAAUAUUGCGCAAUGGGCGGAAGCCUGACGCAGCGACGCCGCGUGGGGGAUGACGGCCUUCGGGUUGUAAACCUCUUUCAGCAGGGACGAAGCGCAAGUGACGGUACCUGCAGAAGAAGCGCCGGCCAACUACGUG